CAGUAGCCACGGGAAUACGGAGGAUCCAAGCGUUAUCCGGAAUCAUUGGGUUUAAAGGGUCCGUAGGCGGUCUUGUAAGUCAGUGGUGAAAGCCCAUCGCUCAACGGUGGAACGGCCAUUGAUACUGCAGGACUUGAAUUAUUGGGAAGUAACUAGAAUAUGUAGUGUAGCGGUGAAAUGCUUAGAGAUUACAUGGAAUACCAAUUGCGAAGGCAGGUUACUACCAAUUGAUUGACGCUGAUGGACGAAAGCGUGGGUAGCGAACAGGAUUAGAUACCCGCGUAGUCCCUGUCUCUUAUAA
rnacentral:rRNA from 1 species